UGUGAGUUAUAUAUGUAUAUAUACAUAGUCCUGAGGCUAUAAACAUAAAACGAAACAUGCUCUAUUGGUUAACGACUUAGGCAAUUGUAGGAGAUGAUGCAAGUUCGAAACCUGCUAACCUUAUUUUUCUUGAUUUAUUUUGCCAUCGACUUAACUCUAUAGUACAUUGCCCAUUAAUAAAACUUAAGCCAACAUUCGCUUCUAUAUAAGAUGGUCAUCCACUUUCUUUCUACUAUUUCGUAGGCAGAAUAACAUGGUACCCACUUUCGGAACCGUUGGUUUUGGAACCGGAAAGUUUGGAACUGCCUUAAGUGGUUCCGGUUUUCAUUUUUCCGGAACCGCUACCCGCCGGUUACCCGUCAAAACUGGUUUGUAUAUAUAUAUAUCCCCUAUCCUAAUAAAUAAGUAGAAUAGUGCCACGUGUCAGUCUCCCAGACCCCCAAAAUAUAUUUUUCCCACUUCUUUUCUUCAGGUCCAUUUACGUUAAUCCUCCACUUCAAAUAGAGGCAAUUAAUCCGGAAAAAACUGCAGUAAAAAAAUGCAAUCAAAAAUUUAAAAUGAAUAAAAGAUUUGCAAAUAAUAUACAAAAAUCGGUUAUUCAAAUUUGAAAUUCGAAAUACCUGAUUUAUAUGGAAGUUUGUUUAUUGUGAUUGGAAAUUAAAUAAUUUCCCGUGAUUAAAUCCCAAAAAAUCUGCAUUCUUAAAAUUAUCUUUUCAGAAUACUACUAUUAUCCAUCUAAUAUAUUCCUUCUUUUCAGCAUUCUUAAAAUUAUCGAGCUAUCAAUUAAGUAAAUCCCAAAAAAUUUGCUGGAAAUAAAUGCAUACCCAUAUAUAUGACUAUAAGAUCUACAUGCUUUGGUAUCCACGAUUCUGCUUAUGAGACUACUUUGCAAA
rnacentral:lncRNA from 1 species